CGACCUGCACGAAUGGCGUAAUGAUGGCCAGGCUGUCUCCACCCGAGACUCAGUGAAAUUGAACUCGCUGUGAAGAUGCAGUGUACCCGCGGCAAGACGGAAAGACCCCGUGAACCUUUACUAUAGCUUGACACUGAACAUUGAGCCUUGAUGUGUAGGAUAGGUGGGAGGCUUUGAAGUGUGGACGCCAGUCUGCAUGGAGCCGACCUUGAAAUACCACCCUUUAAUGUUUGAUGUUCUAACGUUGACCCGUAAUCCGGGUUGCGGACAGUGUCUGGUGGGUAGUUUGACUGGGGCGGUCUCCUCCUAAAGAGUAACGGAGGAGCACGAAGGUUGGCUAAUCCUGGUC
rnacentral:rRNA from 1 species